AACGAACGCUGGCGGCAUGCCUAACACAUGCAAGUCGAACGAGACCUUCGGGUCUAGUGGCGCACGGGUGCGUAACGCGUGGGAACCUGCCCUUAGGUUCGGAAUAACUCCCCGAAAGGGGUGCUAAUACCGGAUAAUGUCUUCGGACCAAAGAUUUAUCGCCUUUGGAUGGGCCCGCGUUGGAUUAGCUAGUUGGUAGGGUAAAAGCCUACCAAGGCGACGAUCCAUAGCUGGUCUGAGAGGAUGAUCCGCCACACUGGGACUGAGACACGGCCCAGACUCCUACGGGAGGCAGCAGUGGGGAAUAUUGGACGAGGGGCGAAAGCCUGAUACAGCAAUGCCGCGUGAGUGAUGAAGGCCUUAGGGUUGUAAAGCUCUUUUACCCGGGAUGAUAAUGACAGUACCGGGAGAAUAAGCGCCGGCUAACUCCGUG
rnacentral:rRNA from 1 species